UUUCACAUUUUUUUUACUUUUUUUAUUAAAACGAAAUUUUCAUUUCGACGAACCGAAAAAGGGUAAAAGCUUCGGUUGCCGGGGGCUAGUAAAGGCACCGGAAAAUCGCUAAAUCUAAACGGCGGAUCUCUUUUUCAUUCGCUAUUUUUAGGAACGGGUGGGCGGGAGUGUUUCUUUCGUUCAACAGCUGUUUCUGUUGAAGUUUUCAGAAGAAGAAGAAGAAGAUGAAUCUGCUGUACUUUAUGUAUGGGGGUGGUCGCUCAUCAAGUUUCUUAUUGCUCCGAGUGGAAUCGAUCGUUUUACUUUGCGCUAAUUAGCGCACACAGAGCCAAGGGAGGGCCUAAACUUAACUCACGAGACACGAGCCCGUGGAGGAGGAGCAAAUGAACAAUAAUGGCCACUGCGUCUCUCUACGCUCUAAAAAUAAGUUGGAAACUAUCAUCAAGGGACGACUCUGCUGAGGAGAGGACCGGAAGAUAAUAACAUCAUAACAAGCGAGGUCUGACUAUAUAGGAAACACACUCGGCUUGUUAUUAUUACACGACCCAGGAGUUGACGAGCAGCGCUGCGCUUCUCUCUCGCCAUCAAUUAAUUCACCAAGUUCGAUCGACCCAAUGAAAAGCGCAACCUUCGUUUUUCUCUUCUCAUCUUCGAUAUAGAAAUUAGCCCCGGGUGACGGCCAGAGAGGGAGGAGAAAGAAGACUUGAUUGGAUCAAUAAGGAGCUCUAGUUAGUUAGCUCCUAAAUAAGAAAGAAACCAAGUUGACUGACCU